rnacentral:rRNA from 1 species
GAUGAACGCUAGCGGCAGGCCUAACACAUGCAAGUCGAGGGAGGAGCUUUCGGGCUUCGACCGGCGUACGGGUGCGUAACGCGUAUACAAUCUGCCUUUCACAUAGGGAUAGCCCGAAGAAAUUUGGAUUAAUACCUAAUGGUAUAUAGGGGUGGCAUCACCUUUAUAUUAAAGCUGAGGCGGUGAAAGAUGAGUAUGCGUUCUAUUAGCUAGUUGGAGAGGUAACGGCUCCCCAAGGCUACGAUAGAUAGGGGUUCUGAGAGGGAUAUCCCCCACACUGGUACUGAGAUACGGACCAGACUCCUACGGGAGGCAGCAGUGAGGAAUAUUGGACAAUGGUCGGAAGACUGAUCCAGCCAUGCCGCGUGCAGGAAGACGGCCUUAUGGGUUGUAAACUGCUUUUGCAGGGGAAGAAUAAGGACUACGAGUAGUUUGAUGACGGUACUCUGCGAAUAAGCAUCGGCUAACUCCGUGCCAGCAGCCGCGGUAAUACGGAGGAUGCGAGCGUUAUCCGGAAUCAUUGGGUUUAAAGGGUCCGUAGGCGGGCUAAUAAGUCAGAGGUGAAAGCGCUCAGCUCAACUGAGCAACUGCCUUUGAAACUGUUAGUCUUGAAUGGUUGUGAAGUAGUUGGAAUGUGUAGUGUAGCGGUGAAAUGCUUAGAUAUUACACAGAACACCGAUAGCGAAGGCAUAUUACUAACAAUUAAUUGACGCUGAUGGACGAAAGCGUGGGGAGCGAACAGG